GGGGGCGAUCCUGGCUUCGACGUCGGUGACGAAACCUAUGGUGCAUGCCGUGUGGGUAGCAACACACGUACUCCAAGUGCUGCAAAAUAUAGUCGCAAACGACGACAACUACGCUCUAGCAGCUUAAGCUAGACCGCUCUGAGAACUUGCUUGUGGGAUCGACUGAGCGGUAAUCGCACACAAGAUCGCGGCAAUGCGCGCCUGGCGCUGCGCCGUUAAAACCUAUACAGGCUGGCCUGUUACGCCCUGCCCGGUUGGGCCGUGGCAGGUGAGAUCAAUAGACCGGACUAAGCAUGUAGAUCCAUAGGCAGAGUGCUGGCGGACGCGGGUUCGAUUCCCGCCGCCUCCACCA
rnacentral:tmRNA from 1 species